rnacentral:rRNA from 1 species
UACGAACGGUCCAACCGUUAUUCGGAAUCACUGGGCUUAAAGCGUCCGUAGGCGGCUCGGAAAGUAGGGUGUGAAAUCCCACGGCUCAACCGUGGAAUUGCGCUCUAAACUAUCGAGCUAGAGGGAGAUAGAGGUGAGCGGAACUGAUGGUGGAGCGGUGAAAUGCGUUGAUAUCAUCAGGAACACCGGAGGCGAAGGCGGCUCACUGGGUCUUUUCUGACGCUGAGGGACGAAAGCUAGGGGAGCGAACGGG